UACAGAGGGUGCAAGCGUUGUUCGGAAUAUUGGGCGUAAAGCGCGUGUAGGCGGCUUGUUAUGUCGGGUGUGAAAGCCCUCAGCUUAACUGAGGAAGUGUGCCCGAAACUGGCAAGCUUGAGUGUCGGAGAGGAUAGCGGAACACCCGGUGUAGAGGUGAAAUUCGUAGAUAUUGGGUAAGAACACCAGUGGCGAAGGCGG
rnacentral:rRNA from 1 species